rnacentral:rRNA from 1 species
UACGUAGGGUGCAAGCGUUGUCCGGAAUUAUUGGGCGUAAAGAGCUCGUAGGCGGUUUGUCGCGUCUGCUGUGAAAACUCGGGGCUUAACCCCGGGCCUGCAGUGGGUACGGGCAGACUAGAGUGCGGUAGGGGAGACUGGAAUUCCUGGUGUAGCGGUGAAAUGCGCAGAUAUCAGGAGGAACCCCGGUGGCGAAGGCGGGUCUCCGGGCCGUAACUGACACUGAGGAGCGAAAGCGUGGGGAGCGAACAGG